rnacentral:rRNA from 1 species
AUGAACGCUGGCGGCGUGCCUAAUACAUGCAAGUCGAGCGAACAGACGAGGAGCUUGCUCCUCUGACGUUAGCGGCGGACGGGUGAGUAACACGUGGAUAACAUACCUAUAAGACUGGGAUAACUUCGGGAAACCGGAGCUAAUACCGGAUAAUAUAUUGAACCGCAUGGUUCAAUAGUGAAAGACGGUUUUGCUGUCACUUAUAGAUGGAUCCGCGCCGCAUUAGCUAGUUGGUAAGGUAACGGCUUACCAAGGCGACGAUGCGUAGCCGACCUGAGAGGGUGAUCGGCCACACUGGAACUGAGACACGGUCCAGACUCCUACGGGAGGCAGCAGUAGGGAAUCUUCCGCAAUGGGCGAAAGCCUGACGGAGCAACGCCGCGUGAGUGAUGAAGGUCUUCGGAUCGUAAAACUCUGUUAUUAGGGAAGAACAAAUGUGUAAGUAACUAUGCACGUCUUGACGGUACCUAAUCAGAAAGCCACGGCUAACUACGUG